GUGAGGAAUUUUCCGCAAUGGGCGAAAGCCUGACGGAGCAAUGCCGCGUGAAGGAAGAAGGCUCACGGGUCGUAAACUUCUUUUCUCGGAGAAGAAUAAAUGACGGUAUCUGAGGAAUAAGCAUCGGCUAACUCUGUGCCAGCAGCCGCGGUAAAACAGAGGAUGCAAGCGUUAUCCGGAAUUAUUGGGCGUAAAGUGUCUGUAGGUGGCUUUUCAAGUCCGUCGUCAAAUCCCAGGGCUCAACCCUGGACAGGCGGUGGAAACUAUCAAGCUAGAGUACGGUAGAGGCAGAGGGAAUUUCCGGUGGAGCGGUGAAAUGCGUUGAGAUCGGGAGGAACACCAAGGGCGAAAGCACUCUGCUGGGCCGUCACUGACACUCAGAGACGAAAGCUAGGGGAGCAAAUGGGAUUAGAAACCCUAGUAGUCC
rnacentral:rRNA from 1 species